rnacentral:rRNA from 1 species
UUGCUCCUUGGGUGACGAGUGGCGGACGGGUGAGUAAUGUCUGGGAAACUGCCUGAUGGAGGGGGAUAACUACUGGAAACGGUAGCUAAUACCGCAUAACGUCGCAAGACCAAAGAGGGGGACCUUCGGGCCUCUUGCCAUCAGAUGUGCCCAGAUGGGAUUAGCUAGUAGGUGGGGUAACGGCUCACCUAGGCGACGAUCCCUAGCUGGUCUGAGAGGAUGACCAGCCACACUGGAACUGACACACGGUCCAGACUCCUACGGGAGGCAGCAGUGGGGAAUAAUGCACAAUGGGCGCAAGCCUGAUGCACCCAUGCCGCGUGUAUGAAGAAGGCCUUCGGGUUGUAAAGUACUUUCAGCGAGGAGGAAGGGGAUGUGGUUAAUAACCGCAUUCAUUGACGUUACUCGCAGAAGAAGCACCGGCUAACUCCGUGCCAGCACCCGCGGUAAUACGGAGGGUGCAAGCGUUAAUCGGAAUUACUGGGCGUAAAGCGCACGCAGGCGGUCUGUCAAGUCGGAUGUGAAAUCCCCGGGCUCAACCUGGGAACUGCAUCCGAAACUGGCAGGCUAGAGUCUUGUAGAGGGGGGUA